UUAAGCGACUAAGCGUACACGGUGGAUGCCCUGGCAGUCAGAGGCGAUGAAGGGCGUGCUAAUCUGCGAUAAGCGCCGGUAAGGUGAUAUGAACCGUUAUAACCGGCGAUACCCGAAUGGGGAAACCCAGUGUGACUCGUCACACUAUCAUUAACUGAAUCCAUAGGUUAAUGAGGCGAACCGGGGGAACUGAAACAUCUAAGUACCCCGAGGAAAAGAAAUCAACCGAGAUUCCCCCAGUAGCGGCGAGCGAACGGGGAGGAGCCCAGAGCCUGAAUCAGCAUGUGUGUUAGUGGAAGCGUCUGGAAAGGCGCGCGAUACAGGGUGACAGCCCCGUACACAAAAGCGCAUGUGCUGUGAGCUCGAUGAGUAGGGCGGGACACGUGGUAUCCUGUCUGAAUAUGGGGGGACCAUCCUCCAAGGCUAAAUACUCCUGACUGACCGAUAGUGAACCAGUACCGUGAGGGAAAGGCGAAAAGAACCCCGGCGAGGGGAGUGAAAAAGAACCUGAAACCGUGUACGUACAAGCAGUGGGAGCCCCACCACUAAGCCAGUGGUGAACUCCACAUACGCAUCCUUUGCUGAAGGCAAUGGUUAACGGAGCGAAAGCGACGUUCAACCGCAAAACAAGCAGAGGGGGCUUAGUGGUGGGGUGACUGCGUACCUUUUGUAUAAUGGGUCAGCGACUUAUAUUCUGUAGCAAGGUUAACCGUAUAGGGGAGCCGGAGGGAAACCGAGUCUUAAUUGGGCGUUAAGUUGCAGGGUAUAGACCCGAAACCCGGUGAUCUAGCCAUGGGCAGGUUGAAGGUUGGGUAACACUAACUGGAGGACCGAACCGACUAAUGUUGAAAAAUUAGCGGAUGACCUGUGGCUGGGGGUGAAAGGCCAAUCAAACCGGGAGAUAGCUGGUUCUCCCCGAAAGCUAUUUAGGUAGCGCCUCGUGAAUUCAUCUCCGGGGGUAGAGCACUGUUUCGGCUAGGGGGCCAUCCCGGCUUACCAACCCGAUGCAAACUGCGAAUACCGGAGAAUGUUAUCACGGGAGACACACGGCGGGUGCUAACGUCCGUCGUGAAGAGGGAAACAACCCAGACCGCCAGCUAAGGUCCCAAAGUCAUGGUUAAGUGGGAAACGAUGUGGGAAGGCCCAGACAGCCAGGAUGUUGGCUUAGAAGCAGCCAUCAUUUAAAGAAAGCGUAAUAGCUCACUGGUCGAGUCGGCCUGCGCGGAAGAUGUAACGGGGCUAAACCAUGCACCGAAGCUGCGGCAGCGACACUCAGGUGUUGUUGGGUAGGGGAGCGUUCUGUAAGCCUGUGAAGGUGUGUCGUGAGGCAUGCUGGAGGUAUCAGAAGUGCGAAUGCUGACAUAAGUAACGAUAAAGCGGGUGAAAAGCCCGCUCGCCGGAAGACCAAGGGUUCCUGUCCAACGUUAAUCGGGGCAGGGUGAGUCGACCCCUAAGGCGAGGCCGAAAGGCGUAGUCGAUGGGAAACGGGUUAAUAUUCCCGUACUUGGUGUUACUGCGAAGGGGGGACGGAGAAGGCUAUGUUGGCCGGGCGACGGUUGUCCCGGUUUAAGCGUGUAGGUGUGUGUUCCAGGUAAAUCCGGUUCACUUUAACACUGAGGCGUGAUGACGAGGCACUACGGUGCUGAAGCAACAAAUGCCCUGCUUCCAGGAAAAGCCUCUAAGCAUCAGGUAACAUCAAAUCGUACCCCAAACCGACACAGGUGGUCAGGUAGAGAAUACCAAGGCGCUUGAGAGAACUCGGGUGAAGGAACUAGGCAAAAUGGUGCCGUAACUUCGGGAGAAGGCACGCUGACACGUAGGUGAAGUGAUUUACUCAUGGAGCUGAAGUCAGUCGAAGAUACCAGCUGGCUGCAACUGUUUAUUAAAAACACAGCACUGUGCAAACACGAAAGUGGACGUAUACGGUGUGACGCCUGCCCGGUGCCGGAAGGUUAAUUGAUGGGGUCAGCGCAAGCGAAGCUCCUGAUCGAAGCCCCGGUAAACGGCGGCCGUAACUAUAACGGUCCUAAGGUAGCGAAAUUCCUUGUCGGGUAAGUUCCGACCUGCACGAAUGGCGUAAUGAUGGCCAGGCUGUCUCCACCCGAGACUCAGUGAAAUUGAACUCGCUGUGAAGAUGCAGUGUACCCGCGGCAAGACGGAAAGACCCCGUGAACCUUUACUAUAGCUUGACACUGAACAUUGAGCCUUGAUGUGUAGGAUAGGUGGGAGGCUUUGAAGCGUGGACGCCAGUCUGCGUGGAGCCGACCUUGAAAUACCACCCUUUAAUGUUUGAUGUUCUAACGUGGACCCGUAAUCCGGGUUGCGGACAGUGUCUGGUGGGUAGUUUGACUGGGGCGGUCUCCUCCUAAAGAGUAACGGAGGAGCACGAAGGUUGGCUAAUCCUGGUCGGACAUCAGGAGGUUAGUGCAAUGGCAUAAGCCAGCUUGACUGCGAGCGUGACGGCGCGAGCAGGUGCGAAAGCAGGUCAUAGUGAUCCGGUGGUUCUGAAUGGAAGGGCCAUCGCUCAACGGAUAAAAGGUACUCCGGGGAUAACAGGCUGAUACCGCCCAAGAGUUCAUAUCGACGGCGGUGUUUGGCACCUCGAUGUCGGCUCAUCACAUCCUGGGGCUGAAGUAGGUCCCAAGGGUAUGGCUGUUCGCCAUUUAAAGUGGUACGCGAGCUGGGUUUAGAACGUCGUGAGACAGUUCGGUCCCUAUCUGCCGUGGGCGCUGGAGAACUGAGGGGGGCUGCUCCUAGUACGAGAGGACCGGAGUGGACGCAUCACUGGUGUUCGGGUUGUCAUGCCAAUGGCACUGCCCGGUAGCUAAAUGCGGAAGAGAUAAGUGCUGAAAGCAUCUAAGCACGAAACUUGCCCCGAGAUGAGUUCUCCCUGAGACUUAGAGUCUCCUGAAGGAACGUUGAAGACGACGACGUUGAUAGGCCGGGUGUGUAAGCGCAGCGAUGCGUUGAGCUAACCGGUACUAAUGAACCGUGAGGCUUAACCUU
rnacentral:rRNA from 1 species